rnacentral:rRNA from 1 species
GAAAGUAAAGAAGGGCGCAUGGCGGAUGCCUUGGCUCUCGGAGGCGAUGAAGGACGUGAUAAGCUGCGAUAAGCUUUGGGGAGGUGCAAAUGACCUUUGAUCCAGAGAUUUCCGAAUGGGACAACCCAAUAUCUUGAAGAGGUAUUAUCCAACGUUGUUGGAGGCUAACGCAGGGAACUGAAACAUCUUAGUACCUGCAGGAAAAGAAAAUAAACAAUGAUUCCCCCAGUAGUGGCGAGCGAACGGGGAACAGCCCAAACCAUCCAUGUUACGGCAUGGGUGGGGUUGUAGGACUACGCCGUUGCAUGAAGACAUCAGAGAAGAACUUUCUGGAAAGAAAGACCAUAGAGCAUGACAGUUGCGUAUUCGAAUGUUGUCGAAGCAUAGUAGUAUCCUGAGUAGCGCGGAGCACGAGGAAUUCUGCGUGAAUCUGCCGGGACCAUCCGGUAAGGCUAAAUACUCCCGAGAGACCGAUAGCGAACCAGUACUGUGAAGGAAAGGUGAAAAGCACUUCGAAUAGAAGAGUGAAAUAGUCCCUGAAACCAUGCGCCUACAAGCGGUCGGAGCAGCUUAAGUUGUGACGGCGUGCCUUUUGCAUAAUGAACCUACGAGUUACUUUUUCCGGCAAGGUUAAGCAUCUUGAGAUGUGGAGCCGAAGCGAAAGCGAGUCUGAACAGGGCGGAUAGUCGGAAGGAGUAGACGCGAAACCAAGUGAUCUACCCUUGGGCAGGUUGAAGGUUAGGUAACACUAACUGGAGGACCGAACCGAUAAGCGUUGAAAAGCUUCCGGAUGAGCUGAGGGUGGGGGUGAAAGGCUAAUCAAACUUGGAGAUAGCUCGUACUCCCCGAAAUGCAUUUAGGUGCAGCCUUGAGAGUUACUAAUGUGAGGUAGAGCGACUGAUAAGAUGCGAGGGCUUCACCGCCUAUCAAGUCUUGACAAACUCCGAAUGCGUGUUAGUUCUAUGUCAGGAGUGAGGGCAUGGGUGCUAAGGUCCAUGUCCUAAAGGAGAACAAUCCGGACCAACAGCUAAGGUCCCGAAAUAAAUACUAAGUUGAACUAACGAAGUCAGAUUGCUAAGACAGCUAGGAUGUUGGCUUGGAAGCAGCCAUUCAUUUAAAGAGUGCGUAACAGCUCACUAGUCGAGGAGUUUGGCGUGGAUAAUAAUCGGGCAUAAGUGGUUUACCGAAGCUAUGGGAUGUGUAAACAUCGGUAGGGGAGCAUUCUACUCUGCGUCGAAGGUGAAGCGUAAGCUUUGCUGGAGCGUGUAGAAAAGCAAAUGUAGGUAUAAGUAACGAUAAAGGGGGUGAGAAACCCCCUCGCCGAAAGACUAAGGUUUCCUGAUCAACGCUAAUCGGAUCAGGGUCAGUCGGGUCCUAAGGCUCAGCCGAACGGCGAUGCCGAUGGCAGAAACGGUUAAUAUUCCGUUACUACCUUCAGGAGUGACGUGGAGACGCAGUAGUGACAGUGCCGCCAUCUGACGGAAUAGAUGGUUGAAGGGUGUAGGAGUCGAUCAUGGCAGGCAAAUCCACCAUGAGAUCCGAACCUGAUAGUAUGCCGCGUCCUUCGGGACAAGGCAAUAGUGCGCGUAAGCAUGCUGCCGAGAAAAUCCGCUAAACUUAAUCCUGCAGGUACCCGUACCGCAAACGGACACACGUAGUCGGGAUGAAUAUUCUAAGGCGCUUGAGUGAUUCACGGUUAAGGAACUAGGCAAACUGACCCUGUAACUUCGGGAUAAAGGGUCCCUACCCUUUUAUGGGAGGGCGCAGAGAAUCGGUCCAGGCAACUGUUUAACAAAAACACAGGGCUGUGCCAAAUCGAAAGAUCCAGUAUACAGCCUGACACCUGCCCGGUGCUGGAAGGUUAAGAGGAGAUGUCAUCGAUAAGAGAAGCGUUGAAUUGAAGCCCCAGUAAACGGCGGCCGUAACUAUAACGGUCCUAAGGUAGCGAAAUUCCUUGUC